CUCCUCCCUAACACCGGAUGCAGUGUCUCUACCCCUCCCUGCCUGCCCCACGGGCCACACAGUCAGAAGGGUCAAAACUCGAGGGCUUCUGGUUCAAGGGACCCUCAGACAUGGCCACUUAAGGCUAGGGGGACAGGGAGGAAUCCGGACAAGUUGGACACCUGUUGACAGUCCCUCUGCCAUGAGGAGGCAGGAGCGCAGAGUGGUUAGAGCUUGCUCCCCGCCCCCCUCCCGCCCCCAGCAUUCUCUUGGCAUAUUCCCACUGCUACCUGUGUGACUCCAGGGCUCAGUUUCUUCAUCUGCAAAAAGGAGGUACAUGGACCUCUCCACCGAUCCUCAAACAUGGCAGGCACGCUGCUGCCUCAGGGUCUUUGCACUGGCUGUGGCCACAGCCUGGAACUUUCUUCCUCAGACAGUUGCAUGCUUCUCUCCUUUUCCCUCAAGUCUUUGCU
rnacentral:lncRNA from 1 species